GUCUAGAUAGCUUAGUCAGUAGAGCAUAAGACACUUAAUCUCAGGGUCAUGGGUUUGAGCCCCUCAUUGGGCA